CACACACACACACACACACACACACGCAAGAGCGUACGCAAUAAAGCGCAAGACAAGAAGGGAGGAGAGGCAGAGAGCGGAAUAAAGCGCAUACAGCAAGAGCAUCAUGGCACCCAUUGGAUUAAAGGCGGUGGUCGGAGAAAAGAUUAUGAAUGAUGUGAUCAAGAAGGUGAAGAAGAAGGGAGAAUGGAAGGCUCUGGUGGUGGACCAGCUGAGCAUGAGAAUGCUUUCCUCUUGUUGCAAGAUGACUGACAUCAUGACAGAGGGCAUCACAAUUGUGGAGGACAUAAACAAGCGAAGAGAACCUCUACCAACCUUGGAGGCCAUUUACCUCAUCACUCCUACUGAGAAGUCUGUGCGGACACUCGUUGGUGAUUUCAAGGAUCCACAUUCGUCAAAAUACAGAGCAGCUCAUGUGUUCUUCACUGAUUCUUGCCCAGAUCCGUUAUUUAAUGAACUGGUGAAGAGUCGUGCUUCAAAGUGUGUCAAGUCCUUAAACGAGAUCAACAUUGCCUUCUUGCCAUAUGAGUCGCAGGUGUUCUCUCUGGAUAACCCUGAUGCCUUUCAGAGUUUCUACAGCCCCCAUAAGACUCAGAUGAAGAACCCAGUGAUGGAAAGAUUAGCUGAGCAGCUGGCCACGCUGUGUGCCACACUCAAGGAGUACCCUGCUGUCCGAUACCGUGGUGAGUACAAAGACAAUGCCACACUGGCUCAGCUAGUGCAGGACAAACUGGAUGCCUACAAGGCAGAUGACCCAACCAUGGGAGAGGGCCCAGACAAGGCUCGCUCACAGCUCAUCAUUCUGGAUCGGGCUUUUGAUCCUGUCUCGCCUGUCCUGCAUGAGCUCACCUUCCAGGCCAUGGGCUACGAUCUGCUGCCUAUUGAGAAUGACGUGUACAAGUAUGAAACCAGCGGAAUGGGAGACUCUCGGGAGAAGGAGGUGCUGCUACACGAGGACGACGACCUCUGGGUGUCUCUGAGGCACAAGCACAUUGCUGAGGUGUCUCAGGAGGUGACAAAAUCUCUGAAGGAUUUCUCAGCCAGCAAACGGAUGAACACUGGAGAUAAGGUACAGACCACGCUGAGGGAUUUGUCACAGAUGCUGAAGAAGAUGCCGCAGUAUCAGAAAGAGCUUAGCAAGUACUCCACUCACCUUCAGCUGGCAGAAGACUGCAUGAAGCACUAUCAGGGCACUGUGGACAAGCUGUGCCGUGUCGAGCAGGAUCUGGCCAUGGGAACAGAUGCAGAAGGGGAGAAGAUUAAGGACCCAAUGAGGGCUAUCGUGCCCAUCCUGCUUGACGCCAACGUCAGCACCUACGACAAGAUCCGCAUCAUCCUGCUCUAUAUUUUCCUGAAGAACGGAAUCACAGAGGAAAACUUGAACAAGCUGAUCCAGCAUGCACAGAUCCCUCCUGAGGAUAGUGAGAUCAUCACCAACAUGGCUCACCUGGGUGUCCCCAUCAUCACAGAUUCCACUCUGCGCAGAGGGAAGAAGAUUGACCGUAAGGAGCGUGUGAGUGAGCAGACCUACCAGCUCUCUCGCUGGACCCCACUAGUCAAGGACAUCAUUGAGGAUGCUAUUGAGGACAAACUGGACACCAAGCACUACCCUUACAUCUCAACUCGCUCAUCCUCCUCGUUCAGCACCUCAGCAGUCAGUGCCCGGUAUGGACACUGGCAUAAGAAUAAGACCCCUGGAGAGUACCGCACUGGGCCACGUGUCAUUGUCUUCAUCAUUGGCGGAGUGUCUUUUAGUGAGAUGCGCUGCGCCUAUGAAGCCACACAGGCCAACGGCAAAUGGGAGGCCAUCAUUGGUUCCACCCACACGCUCACCCCAACCAAAUUUCUAAUGGAUCUACAGCAUCCCGACUUCCGAGAGUCCACUAGGGUGUCCUUUGAGGACCCCGUUCCCUCAGAGGAAUGAGUGACAGAGGGAAGGGAGGGAAAGAGAAAGAGAAAAAAGAAAGAGAGCGAAAUCACACUCUGACAAAGCUCGACCCAAAUCUUCACCCCAACCGUGCUCCUGGACGCACUCAAAGGCAUGAACAAACCAGACGAGGAGCCGACAAGCUAAAACCCUCCCUCUCUUCUCUUCUAUCUGAUCACCCAGUUCCCUCGCUCCUAUAUUUAUUGUGUAUGCAUCUUGCUUGAGAAAAAAAAUGUUUAAAAAAAAGGACGAAAAAAAAAAACCCAACAAUGGAAUCACUGACUUAAAAAAAAAUUUGAUAUAAAUAUAUAAAUAUAAAUAAAUAAAUAAAUAAAUAUAUAUAUAGUAUGUCGAAAAGCAAAAUAAUCAUUGUAAGUAUUCUCACGUUUUACAAUGGAUGCAAAUGUUUAAACUGCUGAAAUAAGGUUUAAAUAGUAAAGGCCGUUCGAAAACAGAAAGAACCAAAUAUAGAUAUUAAGAUUGAUAUUGGAUGCUCGGAAAUGUGUAAAUGGUAGAAACUUAGAUCGUCUGUGUGAUUUGGUAUGGUUUGUGGGCGGGACAGUCGUGUGUAUGUGAGCGCCAGCCGAAAAUUUCCUCAUAUCAUUUCUCUUGCUUUACGACGAGACGUCAAACCAUUGUCGUUCGUCACGCUAUAUGAUUAAAGCUCCGGUUUUAGAUUCGUAGACGUGCAUGCCAUGGAAUCUUAUUUGUGGCCAUUGUGAAAUAUGAGGGGGAAAAAAAAAAAAUUUUGACACUGACCGAGAAAACGCGUCACGUCAAGUGUAAAUAGCUCCAGAAUGCAAAUAUCAGCCUCCGCUGGCCUCAGACCUGGCUCUAUCUAAUCGCCAGGAUCUUUUUGUUGUUUUGCUCCGCAGAGAAUUUCACGUUUUAGUGUCAAAAGGCCGUUGCUUGCAAAUGAAGAAUAUUCUCAACAGAAAAAAAAGGGCCAGCUGUACUUCAGUAUUGUAUCCUGUCCGAUUAAAGUCUCAUCAUUGCCUAGUAAACGAUGUUUAUCUGGGCCAUGCACUGAGUAGUGUGAUGUUGUAUAUGCCAUAUGUUGAUGUUUUAACGUCUCCCUGUUGACUUUCUGACUGUGAAGUAGUACUUUUUUUUUCCUUUCAAUAAUGCGAAGCCAAUGUGUUUGUGAUGUUUGAGCUGUAGUUGUAGUAGUAACCGAAAAAAAAAAAGAUAUUUGGUUUGUCUGUUUGUUAGUGCAACGUAACUCUUCCACUGGUGAAUGGCUUCGCAAAGAUAUGUAAUCCUUUUCCUCUCUCUCUUUUUUUUUGUCCUUUUCUUUUUUGAUUUUCCAUUUAUUCUAUUUAAAUGCCUCUGAUCCAGCAACCCGGGAUGUAUAUUGCACUAUAUGAGUUUUCUGUAAUGCGAAUGCUUGGUCAUUUUUAGUCCUUUUUAUUUAUUUCUUUUUUUUGGUUUGCUGUUGUAAAAGCAAUGUAGAUUUAUAUUGAAAUUUAUUUAUCAGAGAAAAUAUUAAAUAAAGAAGAAGUAAGUCUGUCUUUAAACCUGUUUAUCUUCGCUGGGAUUUCAUGUUUGCAAGCGUUGAAGCACAAAAUAAAAGUUAACUUGAUGUGUACUGAUGAAAUAAGACUGUCCAAUAAAUUGGCUUCCAUUGCA